rnacentral:tRNA from 1 species
CUUGAAAGCUGGAGGAAACCUGGUGGUUGACUUGUUUCCACUUUCAGUUCUGGUGCUGGGCCUGUACACGUCUGAGCUCCACUGUUCUCCCAACGCCUCCCAGCCCCGGGCCACCCCCAGGUACGGCCUCGGCCAGCCUGCAGGGGGACAGCUCGAUGCUGAUGUGCGCAGGGGGAGGGAAUGAGCUGGGCCUGUCCCCUCUUUCAUCCUUCACACCCGCUCCUCGGAAACACAGAAGCCGGCGAGAUGAGAACACAUGUCCAGGGACCCCCAGGGUAACCGGGGGCCCCUACUCCCCAGGGGCGCGCCCCCUUGGAGCUGCGCUGCGCAGAGAGAGGUUGCGGUUCGCGCCGGACUAGUAGGACCGAGACGGCUGGGACAGCGGCCCGCGGACCCGCCGCGGAUGUAUUUCGUGCUCGUAAAUAAGAGAGGUGCCCGCGUUCCUGUUUGAGCGGAAAGUCCUCUGUAGACGCGCCAGAAGGUGGGGUCAAGGGUUACGGCGGCUUCCCCGGAGGAGCCCGGCAUCUCCAAAAUUGUCGUCCUUCGAGCCGGAUUCGAACCAGCGACCUAAGGAUGCCUCAUUGCUCCAUCUACAGUCCUCCGCUCUACCAACUGAGCUAUCGAAGGACCCCGGAAGGGCCUCUUGCAGGAUUGCUGAAAUAAUGUCUAUCCGGAGGGUUGCCGUGUUGGUAACGUUCAGAUUCGCUUCUAAAAGUGCAAUUUUGAGCUGUCUUCUUAGAUACCGAGUGUAUUUUCUAUAAUGAACUGAGUAACUGGUCCAUGGCUUUAGAAAUACAUGAAAUUCAUUGGGUUGUACAUCUCAGACGUUAGGAUAUUACUUAUGUCUAUCUCAAGGAAAAAACCCAAAGGGUACCCAUCCCAUGUCCUCUUACCCUAGGAAUAGCAUAGCUCAAAGUAAUGCCCUGGGUUACACCCGGCUUCCUUCCUGCUCUCUGGUGACUUCCUUCUUCUCUCAAAAGCGUCAGUUUGUUCAGUAAGUGUUAUAGUUGCCAUAAAUACAGACAACUAGGCUGAAGAUCUCUGGGUUGGGAACAGAGCAAUGCCUGGCAUUUUGGUACACUGCAGUACUUCAUUCUGAAAGUCUAAUGGGAAAUCGUGUGUAUUCAUAAUGCCAGCGGCAAAAAAUUUGGAGUGUUGAGUGUGUGCACGUGUGUGUGUAAAUUUUUUUGUUGUUGAUGUUUGGGUGGUUCAUAUUAUAUUGCGUAAUUAUAGUAGAGCAAUUAAAAUGAAACACAAAUCCUGAAAAUUAUUAAAUGGAGAUAUAAAUAUUCCUUUUCAAAGUUCAAUCAUUCAACGUUGAAGUUCAACAUAGAUUCAUCAGUUUCCUUGCAUCUGCUGCAGAAAUAGACACAGAUGGAGAAGAUACUACACUAUCUGGAGCAAAUAUGUAUACAUUUUCCUUUGUAAUAUAUUUAAGGAAAAGAUUAAGUGGAUUUCUGUAUAAAAUAUCUGUACUUAUUAAAAUAAAAUUUC